CACGGCUGCCGCAGCGGGGAGAUCAAUCAGCUUUGGUCCGCUGACUCGUGUGUGUACCCUUUUCUCUCUCUCAUGUGCGAGUGAUUGGGAGUGCUUUCACUGCAUCAUCAGUCCUGGAAGAUCCACCAUGGGCGGCGGGCGACUGCAAGCGGCGCUCCUUCUGGUGGUGUGUGCUGUGACCUCGCUGACCUCGGCCAGAUAUGAAGGUGGCAUCCCGCUUUGCAAGGACUUAGUGCAGGUCAAGAACGAAUAUUCGUGGGAAUAUAUGAGAGGCAUUAGUGAUGUAAACAACGAUUAUCCAGUGAAUAACACGCAUGAAGGAUGCA